AAAUCAGGGCAAAUUUGCAAAGGAAGAGAGAAAUAUAUAACACAUUCAUAAAGUAAUUGCAGAAAAUUAGAGUAUAUUCCACUUCAGUAUAUUUCUUUGUGUACACAGCCAGUUUAGCAGAUCAGUUUUUCUUCUCAAAAAGCACAGUGUAAAAAUCAAUUUUCUUAGAAGAGCAAUAUUUUUAAGCAACAUGUAAUUCGCUGGUUUACUAUUUGAUCUAAAUGCCAAAAUAAAUUAAUGCCUUUGAUACACUGGAAAUAGCAGGCUUUUUCCAAUCUUUUAGAGAAUACUCAAGCAUUCACAUAUCAAAACUUUCAGCAACCUUUUCUUUAAACAUGAUGUCUCUGUGUCACACUAUAAGAAAAUGUCAGAAGCUUAUGAUCUUAACUCUGCCUUUAUAAACUCGAGCUGAUUUACCUGCAUUCUAAUUAAAUUCUCAUUGAUAUUGGCAUGGUUCUAGUUUGAAAUAACUUUAAGUGAAUGAUCUCAUACUAAAUGUAUCAUAAAGUAGGUGCUUUUGCUGUGAUUUUUACUUGAGAUGCCUCUUUGAAAUUCAAAAGGAAUUUUCCCUUCCCCACCCUUUUAAUUAUGGGAAUAUAAUAUAACAGAAAACAGGCCAUACCUUGAAACAGAUUUUAAAACAGACAAGGAGUAGUGAGAGUCUGCUGAGCACAGAUCUCAAUGCCUUGCUAUCCUUAGUAUGUCUGAGGGUAUUUGCUUUAAUUUUAAAUUUUAGUGAUAUUUUAUAUAGAAAUUGAACUGAUAAUGGAUUUCUUUUUCCUGUGUUUAACCUCAUGCUCUCUCCAACCUGUGACAUCUUGGCUUGGCAGCCCAGUCUUUCCAUGGUGCCUAUUCCAGAAAAUGAGAUGCUCAUCUCCAAGGAGGUUUCAAAUGAAAGAGGUUCUGUUUAGAUAUGAUGCCCCAAAUUAGGAUCAAGAGCAAAAACUGAAUUUGAAGCCUCUUUCUAUAUUAAGAAGGAAUCCACAGCACCGUCUUAUUUGAAGCACCAUUAAAAAAAAUUGCUUAUGGUAUGCUAGUUGCAAGGCAGCAAUAACAACGAAAUAUUCUUUCAAGAAAUAAUCUUAUGUACUAGCAUAAUUAACCCCAGAGAUACACACACACAUGAAUAUGCCAUUUCUUGAAGUGCUUGCUGAUUUAAGAGAUGCCCAAUAUAACACAGCAUAUUUUCUUUAGAAAUAAUAUAAAUGUUGAAAUUAAAUAAAGCUGUAUUUUUGAUGCA
rnacentral:lncRNA from 1 species